UACAUGGGGUGCAAACGUUGCUCGGAAUUAUUGGGCGUAAAGCGCGCGUAGGCGGUUACUUAAGUCGGAUGUGAAAGCCCUCGGCUUAACUGAGGAAGUGCACCCGAAACUGAGUAGCUAGAGUACGAAAGAGGGUCGCGGAAUUCCCGGUGUAGAGGUGAAAUUCGUAGAUAUCGGGAGGAACACCGGUGGCGAAGGCGGCGACCUGGGUCGACACUGACGCUGAGGAGCGAAAGCCAGGGGAGCAAACGGG
rnacentral:rRNA from 1 species